AGCAUAUUCUGAGAUGGGCAACCUUCCAAACAUCACAAUUACUUCUGUGGAAAAGCAGAGUUAAGACUGAGAGGGUAUCCGAGAAUGUAUGUAUGGAUAACAAGAGAAUGAAUGCCUCAAGAAAUUAGACUCUGUUGAAAUCCCCCCCUUUCUGAACCUAAUCCCCUCUCUCUUUAAAGGUAAUGGAAUACAGAGAGACAAGAAUGGAAAUGUAGACCAGUUGGAAGACUCUUCAGAGUGCAGCAGAAAGCCAGCAGUGGCUACAGUUAAGGUAGCAGCAACUGAAAUGAAGAGACAUGGAGAAAUUUAGUAUAUAUUUUGGAAAUGCAGCUGAUGGGACUUUUCGCAUAGAUUUAAUAGGAAGGUGGAGUUGCAGAGAGAAGGUAAGAAAUCAAGGAAUAAUCCUAACUUUUGGUGUUAAGCUAUUUUUGAGGCAU